rnacentral:rRNA from 1 species
UCGCCAUGCCUCCGUGCUUACACAUGCACGUCGACGCUGAACCUACGGCUUGCUGUUGGUGGAUGAUGGCGAACGGGUGAGUAACACGUGAGUAACCUGCCCCUGAUUUCGGGAUAAGCCUGGGAAACUGGGUCUAAUACCGGAUAUGACCAAUCUUCGCAUGAGGGUUGGUGGAAAGUUUUUCGAUCGGGGAUGGGCUCGCGGCCUAUCAUCUUGUUGGUGGGGUAAUGGCCUACCAAGGCGACAACGGGUAGCCGGCCUGAGAGGGCGACCCCCCACACGACCACACACAAACGAACCACACUCUACGAAGGCAGCAGGGGAAUAUGCCAUGGGGACCCUGAUGCAGGAGCAGCGCGGAUGACGCUCGGGUUAAACCGACUCAGGCAAAAAGCAAAGUGACGUACUGCAAAAGAAAUACGGCUACUACUGCCAGCAGCCGCGGUAAUACAUAGGGUACGAGCGUAGUCCGGACUAUUGGGCGUAAAGAGCUCGUAGGUGGUUGGUCACGUCUGCUGUGAAACGCAACGCUUAACGUUGCGCGUGCAGUGGGUACGGGCUGACUAGAGUGCAGUAGGGGAGUCUGGAAUUCCUGGUGUAGCGGAGAAAUGCGCAGAUAUCAGGAGGAACACCGGUGGCGAACGCGGCACUCUGAGCUGUAACUGACACUGAGGAGCGAAAGCAUGGAGAGCGAACAGGAUUAGAUACCCUGGUAGUCCAUGCCGUAAACGUUGGGCACUAGGUGUGGGGGACAUUCCACGUUCUCCGCGCCGUAGCUAACGCAUUAAGUGCCCCGCCUGGGGAGUACGGUCGCAAGGCUAAAACUCAAAGGAAUUGACGGGGGCCCGCACAAGCGGCGGAGCAUGCGGAUUAAUUCGAUGCACGCGAAGACCUUACCAAGGCUUGACAUACACUGACCGUUCAGGAAACAGCUCUUCUCUUUGGAACUGGUGUACAGGUGGUGCAUGGUGCAACAGCUCAGGUCGGGAAUGGUGGGUUAGUCCCGCACGAGGCACCCUCGUUCUAUGCUGCCAGCCGUGAUGGUGAGACUCAAGGAAACUGCGGGUCACUCGAAGGAGGUGGGGAUGACUCAAUCAACAUGCCCUUAGGUCUGGACUACACGCAUGCUACAAUGGCUGGUACAGAGAGAGGCGAACCCGUGAGGGUAAGCGAAUCCCUUAAAGCCAGUCUCAGUUCGGAUCGUAGUCUGCAAUUCGACUACGUGAAGUCGGAGUCGUUAGUAAUCGCAGAUCAGCAACGCUGCGGUGAAUACGUUCCCGGGCCUUGUACACACCGCCCGUCAAGUCACGAAAGUCGGUAACACCCGAAGCCGGUGUCCCAACCCACUUGUGGGAGGGGGCCGUCUAAGGUGGGACUGGUGAUGGGACUAAGUCGUAUUCAAUGUGCAUCUAAGGGG